UUUAAAAUGUGAACUCACUUUCCUGGAACCACCCACUAACAGGUCCCAGAGUUGAGACUCAAACACCAUCCAACCGGCCCUCGAGCAGGAUCUUUUUGCACUGUAGUGUUCUGUCCUCUGGAGUGUCCAUCCUCUGGUCACCUCUGUAUGAGAGCUGAAACUCGAAGGCAGAUUCUCACCUUGUUAGACUUCAGCUGGGAAAAUGUCCGUUGGCAUAUUCUGAAGAGUUACACUCAUUCCUGUAUAUUUUCAUGGGAUACUGUGGUUGUUAUUAAACCUUCAAGAUAGGAUUCUUAGUGCCAAGAGCUGUAUAAUGUGUUUGUAUCAGGAUAUGACCUCUGGCUUUGCACCUAUAUAACAUAAAACAGGAAGGAGUCUUGCCACAGUUGAACCUUAGAAGCCUCUGGAUCUAACAAGCAGGACCUUCUGGCAAUGGAGGGACUGGUGGAAUCACACUAUGAAGUUCACCAAGAACAUCUAGACUGGGAGAAGUGCUAAAGGAAACUCACCCUGACACCAAGUGGCAGCAGAU